UGUGUUCUGAAUGUUGUGCUACAAAAGGCUCUCUCACCCACAAACAUAUCAGAAAGCUGAGGAAACACCUGCAGAGAGAUUACAGUCACAGAGAUGUCACAAAGACAAGUUUGGAUCUCAGGCUGCACCCUGCUUGUGCUGGUCACACUAUGCAGUCAAAUCCUUGGUGCUCACAGCCAAAAGCAAAACAAAGUGGUUCUCAGAGAAUGUAGUGGAGGACGACUGCAGAGGAAAACACUACACCAAUAAGAUGUGCUGUAGAUACCAGGAGAAGUUUGAAGAGAAGGAGACAAGGAAGGAGGAGGUGGAAGAGGGAAAGGAAAAAGAAACUUUAACACAGAAGCUGUUCCAGUGGUGGCCUGACAAAUCGAGUAUCAUGUCUUUUGUCCAUAGUGCAUCGGCAUAUAUUUCUUCAAGGGCACAGUCAUAUCUUCCCUUUAAAUAUCCUGGAAGAAGUCAAAAUUAUUGUGAUUGCGUUAAAGAAAGAUGUAAUACAAAAUGGAUCUCUGCAAGGACAGUCUUUGUUUCAUGCAAUUUCCCAUCUCAUUCUGUCCUCAUUCCCUGUCCUCCCUCUGCUGUAUUUCCAUCCCUAUACCGAUGUGGUUAAAAGCAAGUGCUUGAAAAAAAUGUAAUUAAAUGCCCUGCAGCAGACGCAUGUUUGAAAAAGCAGACCUCUAAUGAUUUUUAUUCUUCAAGAUUUAGUUUCUGCGUAAAAUUGAUUGUGGUCUCAUAAUAUAAUUGAAUAAAGUGCAAUAAGUUCAGUUCAA